CCCUAGCCUCUCUCCCCUUCUCCCUCCCUCCCACAGCCCCUAUCUCCCCCUCCCCCAUCUCCUCUGUCCCCUAGCCUCUGUCCCUCUGUCCCCUAGCCUCUCUCCCUUCUCCCUCCCUCCCACAGCCCCUAUCUCCCCUGUCCCCUAGCCUCUGUCCCUAUCUCCUCUGUCCCCUAGCCUCUCUCCCCUUCUCCCUCCCUCCCACAGCCCCUAUCUCCCCUUAGCCUCUGUCCCUAUCUCCCUCCCUCCCACAGCCCCUAUCUCCCCCUGUCCCCUAGCCUCUGUCCCCUAGCCUCUGUCCCUAUCUCCCUCCCUCCCACAGCCCCUAUCUCCCCUGUCCCUAGCCUCUGUCCCUAUCUCCCUCCCUCCCACAGCCCCUAUCUCCCCCUGUCCCCUAGCCUCUGUCCCCUCCUCCCUCCC
ensembl:lncRNA